AGAUUGAACGCUGGCGGCAGGCCUAACACAUGCAAGUCGAGCGGUAGAGAGGUGCUUGCACCUCUUGAGAGCGGCGGACGGGUGAGUAAUGCCUAGGAAUCUGCCUAGUGGUGGGGGAUAACGUUCGGAAACGGACGCUAAUACCGCAUACGUCCUACGGGAGAAAGCGGGGGACCUUCGGGCCUCGCGCCAUUAGAUGAGCCUAGGUCGGAUUAGCUAGUUGGUGAGGUAAUGGCUCACCAAGGCGACGAUCCGUAACUGGUCUGAGAGGAUGAUCAGUCACACUGGAACUGAGACACGGUCCAGACUCCUACGGGAGCAGCAGGUGGGGAAUAUUGGACAAGUGGGACGAAAGCC
rnacentral:rRNA from 1 species